ACUGAUUUUACAAUGAAGCGAGUGGCGAACUGGUGAGUAACACUGGGAAAUCUGCCCAGAAGCAGGGGAUAACACUUGGAAACAGGUGCUAAUACCGUAUAACACAAAAAUCCGCAUGGAUUUUGUUUGAAAGGUGGCUUCGGCUAUCACUUCUGGAUGAUCCCGCGGCGUAUUAGUUAGUUGGUGAGGUAAAGGCUCACCAAGGCAGUGAUACGUAGCCGACCUGAGAGGGUAAUCGGCCACAUUGGGACUGAGACACGGCCCAGACUCC
rnacentral:rRNA from 1 species